rnacentral:sRNA from 2 species
UCGAUUCGAGCGAAAGCGAGAAAGCGUUGCCGCAGGCAACGACCCGAAGGGCGAAACGCGCAGCGCUGAGUCAUCCUUCCCCCACCACCA